rnacentral:rRNA from 1 species
AUUACUAACCGUGCAAAGGUAGCAUAAUCAUUAGAUUUUUAAUUGGAGUCUUGUAUGAAUGGUUGGACAAAAGGAAUACUGUCUUUAUAUUAAAAUUGAAUUUAACUUUUAAGUGAAAAGGCUUAAAUAAUCUAAAGGGACGAUAAGACCCUAUAAAGCUUUAUAUUAUAAUUAUAUUUUAUUGAGUUUAUAAAUAAAUUUUUAAUUUGAUUAUUUAUUGUGUUGGGGAGAUAUAAAUAUAAUUUAUAUUAACUGUAAGAUUAUAAAACAAAUAUUAAUGAAAUAUUCGGAGAUCCUUUAUUUAAAGAUUAAAAGAUUAAGUUACUUUAGGGAUAACAGCGUUAUUUUUUUUAAGAGUUCAUAUCGACAAAAAAGUUUGCGACCUCGAUGUUGAAUUAAAAUUUCUAUAUAAUGAAGGGAUUAUAUAAGAAGGUCUGUUCGACCUUUAAA